AGCUUUUUGAAUCCGUGCUGAGAUUUCGUCAGACACCAACCCAUUAGAGCUGAUCAGACUUCCAAGAUAGGUGAAGUU
rnacentral:pre_miRNA from 1 species